GCCUUCGUGGUAUAACGGUAGCACACUCGGCGCGUAUUCGAGAGGUCCUGGUUUGAGUCCCGUCGAGGGCA
rfam:Stegodyphus mimosarum contig93114, whole genome shotgun sequence.